UCAUAUCGAAUGAGGGCUGUAAAUAUAGUAAAAACUGGAACCAUACAGAGAAGAUUGGUUAGCAUGGCUCCUGCACUAAGAUGACACGCA
rnacentral:snRNA from 1 species